rnacentral:rRNA from 1 species
AUCUUGCGCAAUGGGCGAAAGCCUGACGCAGCGACGCCGCGUGAGUGAUGAAGGCCUUCGGGUUGUAAAGCUCUGUGGGGAGAGACGAAUAAGUGCAGCCUAAUACGUUGCAUGAUGACGGUAUCUCCUUAGCAAGCACCGGCUAACUCUGUGCCAGCAGCCGCGGUAAGACAGAGGGUGCAAACGUUGUUCGGAAUUACUGGGCGUAAAGCGAGUGUAGGCGGUCUCAUAAGUCAGGUGUGAAAGCCCUGGGCUCAACCCAGGAAGUGCACUUGAAACUGCGAGGCUAGAGUAUCGGAGAGGUUGGUGGAAUUCUCGGUGUAGAGGUGAAAUUCGUAGAUAUCGAGAGGAACACCGGUGGCGAAGGCGGCCAACUGGACGAAUACUGACGCUGAGACUCGAAAGCGUGGGGAGCAAACAGG